GAAGUUGGGGAGGGCUUCUGGAGGUCAUGACUUUUAACUGAAUGAGAGAGAGAGAGAGAGAGAGAGAGAGAGAGAGAGAGAGAGAGAGAGAGAGAGAACAGAAGGACAGUGUAGGGUGGACAAGCACUUGUUGUUUGGCCCUGGCACUCGUGUGGAAUUUGAAUCACACUAGCAGUGUGCAUUCAUAAUCUAACUGUGAUAAAUGCUUCAGCAACUCAGUAAGAUCAGCGUUAGAAAGAGACCUCAAAGGAUGAAGAAAACUUACAAGAUGAAGCCAUUAUUCAGAGUAGAGAGAGACCAAGCUCUAAGCUCUCCGUGACCUUGCUCGGACUCUCACUAGCCUUCCUGGGGGAGUUGCUUCGACUUGCCAGAGGGAAGACUGGGAGUCCCAGAGGCUAGUGAGCCCGUGCAAGGCUACCCAGCCAGUGGGAACAGAGAUGACACGGGUUUCCCAAACCCUAGUCCAGGCUACUGAUGCUGUUGCUGGGAGACACAGACCACCUGAUGCAGGACUACAGACUCACAUCUUGGCCUUGAUUCUGGUCCUGUUCUCUCUCCACUUCCUGAUCUGCCAGUAUGUGAGUGAUCUAUGCUGCAGCUCCCAGUACCAUGGAUUCUGAAACACCAACCAUCACUCCUUGUUCACCACGAUGAACUGUAUUGAAUGAACCAUGAACUAAAAUAAACCUCUCUCCAUUGAAGUUGCUUCUCUUAGGUAUUUAGUCCUAGCAAUGUAAAAGUAACUAAGAUGGAUGGAUGGAUAGACAAACGGACAGACAGAUGAAUGAUAGGAAGAUAGAUGAUAGUUGAUAUGUGAGAGAUAAAUGAUAGGUCUAUAUUUUCCAUGUCUCUAUCUAGCAAUCAUAUUUUUAGCAGCUAUCUAAGUAUAUAAAUCAUAUGUGUGUGUCUAUCAUUGAAUAACACUAAGGACAUGCCAAGUCCAAAAUCUAUAGAUCUGAAGCUGGGAAUUCAGUCAAAAAUGUGAUACAAGAAUUUUGAGGCAGGACUGCUUCUUGCCUCAGAAACCUAUUUGCUCAUAAGGCCUUCAGAAGACUAGCUCAGGGCUACUACUCAUAUCAUCAAAGAUAGUAUCCCUUGCUUAAAGUCACUGGUUACAGAUGUCAGUGCCAUUGCCAGAGCCAAAGUUAUGUUUUAAGUUUUAAUUACUGUGCCUAAGAGAUCCACCGAACAGAAAUGUUCUGACCUAUAAGCCCCUUGCCCAAGAUCAGAUACUUUCUGAAGUGCUAGAGGCUGUCGUUUAUAGGCCAUAACAAGCUAUGUUUUCAUUUCCCUAAACAAGUUUGCUCGACCCAACUACACCGGAUGUGCUUGCUCACAUGUGGGUGGGAGGCAGGCAGGAAAGAUGUCAGGAUGCAUGCUUGCCCCUGAUUGGACAUGAUGGGAACUGUGGUGAAUUCACGUGGGGUUUCCCCCAUUUCCCUGGGAAAUGGAUGUGGCUGGAGUCAAUCAAGCUAGCAGAUAUCUAAUUAAAGCUUGC
rnacentral:lncRNA from 1 species